rnacentral:rRNA from 1 species
AACGAACGCUGGCGGCAUGCCUAACACAUGCAAGUCGAACGAGACCUUCGGGUCUAGUGGCGCACGGGUGCGUAACGCGUGGGAAUCCGCCCUUGGGUACGGAAUAACAGUUAGAAAUGACUGUUAAUACCGUAUAUUGACUUCGGUCCAAAGAUUUAUCGCCCAAGGAUGAGCCCGCGUAGGAUUAGCUAGUUGGUGAGGUAAAGGCUCACCAAGGCGACGAUCCUUAGCUGGUCUGAGAGGAUGAUCAGCCACACUGGGACUGAGACACGGCCCAGACUCCUACGGGAGGCAGCAGUGGGGAAUAUUGGACAAUGGGCAAAAGCCUGAUCCAGCAAUGCCGCGUGAGUGAUGAAGGCCUUAGGGGUUGUAAAAGCUCUUCUACCCCGGGAAUGAAUAAAUGACAAGUACCCGGGAG